rnacentral:rRNA from 1 species
GACGAACGCUGGCGGCGUGCUUAACACAUGCAAGUCGAGCGGUAAGGCCCUUCGGGGUACACGAGCGGCGAACGGGUGGAGUAACACGUGGGUGACCUGCCUCUAGCUCUGGGAUAAGCCUGGGAAACUAGGGUCUAAUACCGGAUAUGACUCCACGGCGCAUGUUGUGGGGUGGAAAGCCUUGUGUGGCUAGAGAUGGGCCCGCGGCCUAUCAGCUUGUUGGUGGGGUGAUGGCCUACCAAGGCGACGACGGGUAGCCGGCCUGAGAGGGCGACCGGCCACACUGGGACUGGGACACGGCCCAGACUCCUACGGGAGGCAGC